CUCUCUCUACUUCCCUCCCUCCCUCCCUCUCUCUCUACCUCCCUCCCUCCUUUCCCUUCUCUCUACCUCCCUCCCUCCUCCCUCCUUUCCCCUCUCUCUACCUCCCUCCCUCGCUGUCGCCCGCCCACGCUACCUAACCUUGAGUCUUACAGAAUAGCUGUUAGACGAGGCAGUAGAACAGCUGUGAUCCUCUCCGCCCACUCUUUUCAUUCUUCGCUCUUGCAUUUUUUUCCAGUCUCUUUUCAUCCCUUUUCCUCUCCACAUGCCUGCAGUGCUUUAUCUUCAUACAUGGGACUGAGAGCUUAUGCGGCUCAGAUGGGAGGUGUAACUGCUGUGUGCUACAUGAACGCGCGUGGCCGUGCACGGAGGUGGGUAGUGCCAAGCAAGGGAUGCUGAACGGAGGCCGUGAGGGCCUGUUCGAGCAGGGCAGGCGCUUCCAGCAGGAGGGUGAUUCCAGGGCGGCUCUGCAGUGCUUUCUCAGCUGCCUGCUGGGUCUGACCCAUGUGCACAGCUUUCACUUGCUGCCAAACUGCCUGCAUCAGAUCGCUGAACUCUUCAUCGAUGAGAAAAAUUAUGAGAAAGCACUGCAGUUCAUUCAGGCAGAGAAGAUGUUCUAUGAGGUGGCAUUGAUCGAACUCACUGCUCUACAAGGAAGCACAGGCUCUCAGGAGGACAGUACACUGGGUUCACCAGGAUGGCUCUCCCCAGAGGAGUUAUCAGAACAGGUCUCGCAGGCCCAGGAUCUUGAGAGGCUGGCCCAACUUUGCAUCAUGAGUAAAAGACCUCAUCUUGCUUUAGAGUAUAGUGGCAAGGCUACAAAAAUACACCAGCGAGCAUUUGGUAAUGAUCACCCCAUCACAGCCAGGAGCCUGGAGCUUCUGGGCACAGUCUAUGCUGAGAUUGGCAAGACUGAAUACUCAGGUCAUCAACAGUAAGAUCCCCAUCUCCAUCCUAAAGAGGACCAACGAGCCGUCCUCAACUCAGCGUCGGAAAACGGAUAGGCGUGUUCGUUUCACCGAACCAGAGAUUACUGUUCAUGACAUUCCAUAUUAUGACUGUUUAGGAGGAUAUGACUCAUCUCAGAGCCGUCCCCACCUGGCCCUGCUUACAUGUCUGUUCCUGCUGCUCUCAGCAUUGGGUUUAGCUCUGUACUGCACACACCGCCGACGGCCCCAUCGUGCCUGUGAAGAACUACAGGCAGCACUCGCUGUCUAUCUGCUGCGGUUCAAACAAAUCCUGUGGGGCUGCUGGAUCUGGCUGACCAUGCAGUGAGCAUAACAGAUGACCAGUGGCAUCACUGUUCUCUACACAUGCUUCCAUGAGCACAGAAAGCCAGACAAUGGUACAGAACAGACUAAAGAGAUAAGAAUCAUGGUUUCAUGGAAAAACUUUGGAAUAAUGGUUACUUAAAAUAAGACCCUUUAUUUGAUGGUCCCCACACCCUGGGACUAAAAAUGCCUUCUAAAUCCACUCAUGAAAAAACAGUUAACUUUUGCGCACCAACUACAGAUGGCAUUCUUAUGCCCUUUAUGACUUUAAUGCCAUAUCCUCAUUUUUACUGAGAGGCAGAUACAUUUCAAUAUCUCUGCUUGUAGCAGUUGAGUUUAGACCACGUUUAUGUUUCUAACGAUGUCUCUUACAACCUAUUUAAAGAAUAUUCAUAUAAAAUCAUUGAAUAAAAUCUUAAUGUAUUAAAGUUAGAUUUAGGUUGAAGAAAAUUGAAAAUUAGAUUUUGAUUAUUCUUUAAAUCAAUAUAUGAAGGUCACACUCAAUCACACAGCUGCACCUAUGCUUCUCCAUAAAUGUUCUCACCUAUUUUCUUAUUUACUACAGUUUGCAGCAGUCUAUAUAGAAUGCAAAACACUAUUAUUGAUUUCACUAUUAAUACAAUAUGCUUUGAAUAAUUACACAUGUAUAUAGAAAAUAUUAAUGACUAUCACCUAAGUAAUCCAUAUUAUUGUGCACAUUGUAUUUUAAUGUACAUAGAAUCAUGAACACUCAGUACUCAGUGUAACUCUGUUACAAAUGAUUGACUA
ensembl:lncRNA